UUGUUUAUGUUUGAUAGUCAUUUGGAAAGGUUAUACUUAUAGGUGAUAGUGUUGGCUUAAAUCCAAAGACAAUUUCAGUUUUAUCUCUAAGAUUGCUUGGAGAGCUCUUAGAGAGGCGGCCAUGGCGGCCUCGAAUGAGUCAGAUUUUCUUAACCUUCUGCCCUUGCCUUGCGGUGCCUAUACGCUAUGGGUAAGAAGACUACUUGAGUGAAUGUUGAGAGACAUUGAGUCAUUGAGGAGGAGGUGCUGGAGACAAGCCCAAAACACUUUGACACGAUUAGAGAGGUGGUGCUACUACAUAUACAUUCCAAUGGAAUUUGAAUGCUUUUAAAUGUUUUUAAGCAGUGAGAAAAUUGAUUAUACAGCCAUAGGAAGAUGGUCAAAGGAAGAGUGGGUGGCAGGGCUUUCAGAUUGAGUUGAGGAGGCUGAUUGAUGCGCAAUACUCUGUUAAAGCAAACAGUGAGUCCAGUGUUCAUAUCCCAUUCACACAAGCCCCAAGAUGGGGUUGAAUGGUAGCAUGUGGGAAUGAGAUUGAGCACGUAGGUAGUGGGAGAGGGCUCUAGGGUCCGUAUGGUUGAAGUAGCUUAGCCUUUUGAGGGUUGUGUUGAACCUAUUUAUGUUGAACCGUUGGUUCUUUCGAUCCAAUGGAAGCACAAGAAAGCUUAAAGGGAAGGUCAGUUGAUUUGGGCGAAUUCCAAGGGCUUUGAUGACUUUUUGGGGACACCUUUUGAGGGAUUAGAAGAAGAAGCAACAUAAUUUCUUUGGCUGUUGAAGCUCAGAUGAAAUAGGGGGAGACGGAUGAGAGUGCUCAGAACAAAAUUGACAAAGGCGUGGGAAAAGGGUUUCUAGUGUCAUGAUUGUUCAUCAAUGAAUCUAAAGAUAGUAUCUUGGAAUGUGCAAGGAUUAAAUGACAAUGGAUAAGAGGUUCGCCCUUGGUGGGCUGAUAUAAUUUGUUUGCAGGAGAUGAAUCCAGAGGGAUGAUUAGAAGUUUAUAGGGAUGUCACUAUGUGGAUUGGCUGUAUUUAGGUUAUGUGGGUGGAUUAUGAUUGUGUGGAAUAAAGCCUGGUAGAGAAAGUGGAGGACGCAGUGGAGUAAUAUUCAGUUUGUUGUAGAUUUAGAAAUGUGGGGAACCGAUUUUAAUGGACUUUUAAGUAAUGUGGUAGCCAAACAGAAGAAGCUGUGGAUGCGUGAAUAAAACCACCGGUUAUGACUGUAAUAACUACUUCAAAAGGAGGGAAGAAUGCCGUGAUUUUAAGAGAAAGGUGGAGGAAUUUGCCCAGAGGGAAGCAGCUGCUUGUGCGGCUCUAAAGGAGGUUAUAAACGAGCCGAGCUUCUUUGACUAUUAAAUGGUUAAACUUGGCUUGACAAAAAUAUAAAAUAUUCAAGCUUGACUUGAGCUUGAACGAACCUUACAAACUAUGUUUGAACUUGAACUUAUAUGAUAGUCCAAAAGCUUGAACUCGAUAUCAAGUUUUUGAGAUUGAGAGCUAAUACAGUUACAUUAUCAAGGCUCAUAAUAAAGUAUAUUAUCCAAUCCAUUUGUGACAUUGAUACCAACUCCUAAUUAACUAAAGACUUUGUAUGAUAUGAAUUGGUGGUUUCGGUUGUGGCAAUGUGUUUUAGUUGUCUUAGUGGUUUCA